rnacentral:rRNA from 1 species
AUUGAACGCUGGCGGCAUGCCUUACACAUGCAAGUCGAACGGUAACAGGGAGCUUGCUCCGCCGACGAGUGGCGAACGGGUGAGUAAUGUAUCGGAACGUACCUUUUAGUGGGGGAUAACGUAGCGAAAGUUACGCUAAUACCGCAUAUUCUCUGAGGAGGAAAGCAGGGGACCUUCGGGCCUUGCGCUAAUAGAGCGGCUGAUAUCAGAUUAGCUAGUUGGUGAGGUAAAGGCUCACCAAGGCGACGAUCUGUAGCGGGUCUGAGAGGAUGAUCCGCCACACUGGAACUGAGACACGGUCCAGACUCCUACGGGAGGCAGCAGUGGGGAAUUUUGGACAAUGGGGGCAACCCUGAUCCAGCCAUGCCGCGUGAGUGAAGAAGGCCUUCGGGUUGUAAAGCUCUUUCGGCCGGGAAAAAAUCGCAUGGGCUAAUACCCUGUGUGGAUGAUGGUACCGGAAUAAGAAGCACCGGCUAACUACGUGCCAGCCGCCGCAGUAA